rnacentral:rRNA from 1 species
GACAGAGGGUGCAAACGUUGUUCGGAAUUACUGGGCGUAAAGCGUGUGUAGGCGGCCUUAUAAGUCGGAUGUGAAAGCCCAGGGCUCAACCCUGGAAGUGCACUCGAUACUGUAAGGCUCGAGUACUGGAGAGGUUGGUGGAAUUCUCGGUGUAGAGGUGAAAUUCGUAGAUAUCGAGAGGAACACCGGUGGCGAAGGCGGCCAACUGGACAGAUACUGACGCUGAGACACGAAAGCGUGGGGAGCAAACAUC